CCUACGGGUGGCAGCAGUGGGGAAUAUUGCACAAUGGGCGAAAGCCUGAUGCAGCAACGCCGCGUGAGCGAUGAAGGCCCUCUGGUCGUAAAGCUCUGUCUUCAAGGAAGAUAAUGACGGUACUUGAGGAGGAAUCCCCGGCUAACUACGUUCCAGCAGCCGCGGUAAUACGCAGGGGGCUAGCGUUAUCCGGAAUUACUGGGCGUAAGGGGUGCGUAGGUGGUUUCUUAAGUCAGUGGUGAAAGGCUACGGCUAAACCGUAGUAAGCCUUUGAAACUGGGGGACUUGAGUGCAGGAGAGGAGAGUGGAAUUCAUAGUGUAGCGGUGAAAUGCGUAGAUAUUAGGAGGAACACCAGUUGCGAAGGCAGCUCACUGGACUGUAACUGACACUGAGGCACGAAAGCGUGGGGAGCAAACAGGAUUAGAUACCCCGGUAGUC
rnacentral:rRNA from 1 species